AAGAAUUUAGUUAAUCUAUAACAUUAACCUGUCAAGUUAAAAUAACUAAUUAUAGUAAUUUUUA
rnacentral:tRNA from 1 species